rnacentral:misc_RNA from 1 species
CCGAGUUUACGACUCCCAAACCCCUGUGAACAUACCACUUGUUGCCUCGGCGGAUCAGCCCGCUCCCGGUAAAACGGGACGGCCCGCCAGAGGACCCCUAAACUCUGUUUCUAUAUGUAACUUCUGAGUAAAACCAUAAAUAAAUCA